UACUUAACUCUGAGUUAGGAUUUCAUGUUUGAGAAACAAGAGGAGCGGAGUAUUUGGCAUCUGAGAGUUAAAUGCAAACUAUAGGUAGCAGAUACCUAGAAUGGGUGAUUAAAAUGGGUAUCUCAUGAUUUAAAGGCAACUCCCCUUUGAAAAAGCUCAGUUUUACUCUAACUGUUGCCUUGAAUAUGCAUCCAAUUCACUGAGACUGUUGAUUUUUUUGAGGCGGCUUUGAAGCAGAGAAGGCACUUCGGAGAGAAAGAGAGAGACUUCUGUGCAUGAGUUGUGGCUCCUCUACCUGACUGCAGGCUUGUUUGCCAUCAACUGGUGUCUGGCACCCAUAGAGCAAUGCAGUCAGCAGCAGUUGCAGGGAAUCUGCUGCCAGAUGCCCCUUAGUACAGAAAUGGGAUCCAGACUCUGGUGUGACUGGUGAGCUAUUGAAGGGAGGAUGAUCGUUGAGAAUGGUUCAGGCCAGGUAGUUGCUGGCAGAGCACCCCUACAGAAGAACCUCAGAGUUAGGUUUGUUCAUCGUAACUGUGAAAUGUAUGUAACUUUGAACAAAACGUGAUGGUUAUUCUUUCAAAAGUUUUCAACUGAACAUUGACUUAAUACAGCUUUGAAACUUUACUAUGCAGAAGAAAAAUGCCGCUUUUAACCACCUUAAUUUAAAUGAAGCAAGCACCGAAACAAGCACAGAAACAGUUUCCUUACCUUGUCAAAUCUUUUUUUUAAUUUUUCCCUCAUUGUUUUUAGUAGUUUACGUUUAACAUAGUACAGUGCAACGUUUCCUCUUUUUUUUGGUCUCUGUUGCUGCCUGAUGGUGUACUUGCGGUUCCAAAUGAUGUCUGUGAUUGACUGGUCAGUUUGUAACUCUGGUGAUUGUAACUUCGAGGUUCUACUCUAUCUUAUGGUGGAGGUGGAGAGGACAAAGGAUUGGAGGGAAGGCUCCUAAAAAAGCAUUCUGAUUAAGAGGAAAAGUUGCUGAGCAGAGAAGUUUCUGAGUGGAAAGCAGAAGCUCAGCAGGUCCUAGGUAGGGAAAUAAAACAGCAGGGCUGGAAGUGCACAAGGCAGCCGAUGAAGCAGUUGUUAGAAGGCUGGGAAGGAAAGGAACAGAACUAGUGUUUUUCCAGUAAAUUGUUUCAAGCUCGGCUCCCUCCUUCUCCUUCCUUCUGCCCCUUUGGAUACAAGGAGCCUCCCACAGAACCUCCCAGUUGAGUAGUUUUUGCCGAAGUCUGGAUCCUCUUCCUGAAGGAGAAGGUGGUAGGCAGCAAAUCCCCUCCAUCUGUUGCUUAUCACCCUAUUCAGAACUACCAGAUCCCACUUCCCAACACACAAUACCAGUUCCUUGGAUGUCAUAGGAUUGCAACCAAGAAGUGGAGCCACCUAAGGGAGAGAAAAAAGUCUUGCUCCAUCUUGUUACGAAUGGUGACCAAUCAGAUAGUUAGCCAAUUCAAACUUGGAGAGGCCAGUACUUCAGAGGGGU